UGAUGAAGCAGCGGCAUAAACGCAGG
rnacentral:piRNA from 1 species